UUGACCUCGGAUCAGGUAGUGAUACACGCUGAACCUUA
rnacentral:rRNA from 1 species